UCUUACGACCAUACCAACCUGAAAGCACUUGAUCUCAGAAGCCAUCAAGGGCCGGGCUUGGUUAGUACCUGGAUGGGAGACUGCCUGGGAAUACCAGAUGCCAUAGGCU
rnacentral:rRNA from 1 species